UACGUAGGGGGCGAGCGUUGUCCGGAUUUAUUGGGCGUAAAGCGCGUGUAGGCGGUUCGGUAAGUCCGCUGUGAAAGUCGGGGGCUCAACCCUCGAAUGCCGGUGGAUACUGUCGAACUAGAGUGCGGAAGAGGCGAGUGGAAUUCCCGGUGUAGUGGUGAUAUGCGUAGAUAUCGGGAGGAACACCUGUGGCGAAGGCGGCUUUCUGGGCCUUACCUGACGCUGAGACGCGAAAGCGUGGGGAGCGAACCGG
rnacentral:rRNA from 1 species